AAAAAGACAAACCCUGGUUUCCGUGUCCAACGUUUGACCGUCCAUCUUAUUUAAAAAAAUUAUAAAAAAAAUUAAAAAGACAAGUCACGCAUAAAAUAUUAAUCAUGUUUUAUCAUCUAACAACAAUAAAAAUAUGAAUUAUAAAAAAAUUUCAUGUAAGACGGACAGUCAAAGUUGGACACGGAAACUCAGGUUUGUCUUUUUU
rnacentral:pre_miRNA from 1 species